CAAUUUAAACAACGAAGAGUUUGAUCCUGGCUCAGGAUGAACGCUAGCGACAGGCUUAACACAUGCAAGUCGAGGGGCAGCACAGGUAGCAAUACCGGGUGGCGACCGGCGCACGGGUGAGUAACGCGUAUGCAACUUACCUAUCAGAGGGGGAUAACCCGGCGAAAGUCGGACUAAUACCGCAUGAAGCAGGGGCCCCGCAUGGGGAUAUUUGCUAAAGAUUCAUCGCUGAUAGAUAGGCAUGCGUUCCAUUAGGCAGUUGGCGGGGUAACGGCCCACCAAACCGACGAUGGAUAGGGGUUCUGAGAGGAAGGUCCCCCACAUUGGUACUGAGACACGGACCAAACUCCUACGGGAGGCAGCAGUGAGGAAUAUUGGUCAAUGGCCGAGAGGCUGAACCAGCCAAGUCGCGUGAGGGAUGAAGGUUCUAUGGAUCGUAAACCUCUUUUAUAAGGGAAUAAAGUGCGGGACGUGUCCCGUUUUGUAUGUACCUUAUGAAUAAGGAUCGGCUAACUCCGUGCCAGCAGCCGCGGUAAUACGGAGGAUUCGAGCGUUAUCCGGAUUUAUUGGGUUUAAAGGGUGCGUAGGCGGCCUUUUAAGUCAGCGGUGAAAGUCUGUGGCUCAACCAUAGAAUUGCCGUUGAAACUGGGGGGCUUGAGUAUGUUUGAGGCAGGCGGAAUGCGUGGUGUAGCGGUGAAAUGCAUAGAUAUCACGCAGAACCCCGAUUGCGAAGGCAGCCUGCCAAGCCAUUACUGACGCUGAUGCACGAAAGCGUGGGGAUCAAACAGGAUUAGAUACCCUGGUAGUCCACGCAGUAAACGAUGAUCACUAGCUGUUUGCGAUACACUGUAAGCGGCACAGCGAAAGCGUUAAGUGAUCCACCUGGGGAGUACGCCGGCAACGGUGAAACUCAAAGGAAUUGACGGGGGCCCGCACAAGCGGAGGAACAUGUGGUUUAAUUCGAUGAUACGCGAGGAACCUUACCCGGGUUUGAACGCAUUCGGACCGAGGUGGAAACACCUUUUCUAGCAAUAGCCGUUUGCGAGGUGCUGCAUGGUUGUCGUCAGCUCGUGCCGUGAGGUGUCGGCUUAAGUGCCAUAACGAGCGCAACCCUUGCCACUAGUUACUAACAGGUGAUGCUGAGGACUCUGGUGGGACUGCCAGCGUAAGCUGCGAGGAAGGCGGGGAUGACGUCAAAUCAGCACGGCCCUUACAUCCGGGGCGACACACGUGUUACAAUGGCGUGGACAAAGGGAGGCCACCUGGCGACAGGGAGCGAAUCCCCAAACCACGUCUCAGUUCGGAUCGGAGUCUGCAACCCGACUCCGUGAAGCUGGAUUCGCUAGUAAUCGCGCAUCAGCCAUGGCGCGGUGAAUACGUUCCCGGGCCUUGUACACACCGCCCGUCAAGCCAUGGGAGCCGGGGGUACCUGAAGUCCGUAACCGCGAGGAUCGGCCUAGGGUAAAACUGGUGACUGGGGCUAAGUCGUAACAAGGUAGCCGUACCGGAAGGUGCGGCUGGAACACCUCCUUUCUGGA
rnacentral:rRNA from 1 species